rnacentral:rRNA from 1 species
AAUGAACGUUGGCGGCGUGGAUUAGGCAUGCAAGUCGAGCGAGAACCCGCAAGGGGGACAGCGGCAAACGGGGUAGUAAUGUGUCGGAACGUGCCCAGAGGACGGGGAUAGCGGCGGGAAACUGCCGGUAAUACCCGAUGAUCUCGAGAGAGCAAAGGUGUGAUUCCGCCUUUGGAGCGGCCGACAUGGUAUUAGCUAGUUGGCGGGGUAAUGGCCCACCAAGGCUGUGAUGCCUAGGGGAUGUGAGAGCAUGAUCCCCACCAUUGGGACUGAGACACUGCCCAGACACCUACGGGUGGCUGCAGUCGAGAAUCUUCGUCAAUGGGCGAAAGCCUGAACGAGCGACGCCGCGUGUGGGAUGAAGGCCCUUGGGUUGUAAACCACUGUCGAGGGGGAUGAAGGUUUCAAGGUACUCCUUGAAAUUUGACAGAGCCCUGGAGGAAGCACGGGCUAAGUUCGUGCCAGCAGCCGCGGUAAUAC